rnacentral:rRNA from 1 species
CGACGGGAGCUUGCUCCCUUAGGUCAGCGGCGGACGGGUGAGUAACACGUGGGUAACCUGCCUGUAAGACUGGGAUAACUCCGGGAAACCGGGGCUAAUACCGGAUGCUUGAUUGAACCGCAUGGUUCAAUCAUAAAAGGUGGCUUUUAGCUACCACUUGCAGAUGGACCCGCGGCGCAUUAGCUAGUUGGUGAGGUAACGGCUCACCAAGGCGACGAUGCGUAGCCGACCUGAGAGGGUGAUCGGCCACACUGGGACUGAGACACGGCCCAGACUCCUACGGGAGGCAGCAGUAGGGAAUCUUCCGCAAUGGACGAAAGUCUGACGGAGCAACGCCGCGUGAGUGAUGAAGGUUUUCGGAUCGUAAAACUCUGUUGUUAGGGAAGAACAAGUACCGUUCGAAUAGGGCGGUACCUUGACGGUACCUAACCAGAAAGCCACGGCUAACUACGUGCCAGCAGCCGCGGUAAUACGUAGGUGGCAAGCGUUGUCCGGAAUUAUUGGGCGUAAAGCGCGCGCAGGCGGUUUCUUAAGUCUGAUGUGAAAGCCCCCGGCUCAACCGGGGAGGGUCAUUGGAAACUGGGGAACUUGAGUGCAGAAGAGGAGAGUGGAAUUCCACGUGUAGCGGUGAAAUGCGUAGAGAUGUGGAGGAACACCAGUGGCGAAGGCGACUCUCUGGUCUGUAACUGACGCUGAGGCGCGAA